UCCGAGUUGACCCCGGCAGUCUCCCAUGAGUCCCCGGCAUAACCCGCUGGCAACAUGGAACGAGGGUUGCGCUCGUUGCGGGACUUAACCCAACAUCUCACGACACGAGCUGACGACAGCCAUGCAGCACCUGUGCACGGACUCCGAAGAGGGCCCCCUGUUUCCAAGGGGUUUCCCGUACAUGUCAAGCCCUGGUAAGGUUCUUCGCGUUGCAUCGAAUUAAGCCACAUGCUCCACCGCUUGUGCGGGCCCCCGCCAAUUCCUUUGAGUUUCAACCUUGCGGCCGUAGUCCCCAGGCGGUUCACUUAAUGCGUUAGCUGCGGCACCGAGGGGAACCCCCCAACACCUAGUGAACAUCGUUUACGGCUAGGACUAC
rnacentral:misc_RNA from 1 species